rnacentral:rRNA from 1 species
AACGAAUGCUGGCGGCAGGCUUAACACAUGCAAGUCGAGCGCCCCGCAAGGGGAGCGGCAGACGGGUGAGUAACACGUGGGAACAUACCCAUCUCUGCGGAACAACUCCGGGAAACUGGAGCUAAUACCGCGUACGCCCUUCGGGGGAAAGAUUUAUCGGAGAUGGAUUGGCCCGCGUUGGAUUAGCUAGUUGGGGGGGUAAAGGCCUACCAAGGCGACGAUCCAUAGCUGGUCUGAGAGGAUGAUCAGCCACAUUGGGACUGAGACACGGCCCAAACUCCUACGGGAGGCAGCAGUGGGGAAUAUUGGACAAUGGGCGCAAGCCUGAUCCAGCCAUGCCGCGUGAGUGAUGAAGGCCUUAGGGUUGUAAAGCUCUUUCACCGAUGAAGAUAAUGACGGCAGUCGGAGAAGAAGCCCCGGCUAACUUCGUGCCAGCCGCCGCCGUAA